UAUCCAAUGUCAUCAUGGAAAAUGCAGUACCAGCAGUCUUGAAGUAUAGCUGAGAACUCUGAAACCCAGGCUGCAUAUCAGGAGCAUUGGUCAGUGAGGAAGAAUAUUGGCUGCCAAGGGGGAGAGAAAUAAGGAAAAGGACAGCAAAACCCAAAGGUAGAAAAAAAGGUGACAUAUAUCUCAGAGAAAAAAAACGGUUGCAAAUCACAGGCUCAGCAAGAUGCAAUUUGGAUUAAUUUUAAAAACGGUUGUGCUGUGCAUAAAACAACAAUAAAUAAAGAUGUAUCUAAGUGAUGGGUUUAUAGGAUAGAAAGGGCUUUGUCUGGAAUUCAUAACGAUGAAGCAAUUAUCUAUAGUUAUAAAAAAAGGAUUUUCUUGACAUUGUAUUUUUAUGUACAAUCACAAAUAAACUGGCAACUGAUAGCACCCUUACUUUUGGAUUAAACCCUGUAUUAAAACAAUAAAAUCCAAAUGAUUUCAGAUUUGUAGAAGUGCUCAUGGAUUAGGUGAUCCUAUUAUUCAUUCUUUCAUUAUGUUUCAUUUUACUUUUAUGGGCAAAAUCCACUGGUUAGGACUUAAUACUUGAAGAGCUGCUGCCACUACCAAGCCUCUGCUAUAAAAUAGUAAAAGUAUAAAGUAAAAAAAUUAUCUCUUGGAAUUUACCCAUACACGAGGGUAUUAGGACUGAUUAGAUCCUCACAUUUUCAUUCAAAUAUAUAUAUAGCUACAAAAUCGAGCAUGUAGAAUACAUUGCCCAAAGGAGAACGUGAAGCCUCGUACACACGAUCGAGGAACUCGACGGGCGAAACAC